CGUGGACCGUACCAAGCACGUCCUGCCUUCUUUCGCACCGCCCGCCCUGCCUCGUGCCAGGAACAGAAGUUUUACUGCGGGUUCUGGCGUUCGUGUCCUCGGUGGACAGAGCAAGAAAUGCAAACGGUGGUCGGAAAGGAAUAGGGCGACGACGGAGGGGUGGGAACCCCUCCUUAUUAGUCUCAGAUGGUAUGGUCUCUACCUCAGCGUGGACUCAACCAGCCCGGACUCAGGCUCUCAAAGCCGCUGGAAGGGAGGACGUCCUGUGGUCUGUGCCACUUGGAGAGGAUAGCGUGCAAGGGACAGGCUUUACAGUAAGCCAAAGUAAUAUAAAGUGUUUUAGCGCUUCUUUCCGGAGGCAGUCACGACAGUUUGACACAGAAGGGGGCACUCUGGCACAACCGGAGGCAGGAAACAGAAAUGUGUCUCCCCCAUCACGCCCCCCAAGUUGUGUGGGAGUGAGUUGAAUCCCGUGGCUGCCACUGAUUGGCUGCGAUAAAGUUACGCGGACCAAUUAAAGAAAGAAAGGAAAUGUAUUGGCCUACAGAAAGAGGAAAGCAGUACCGGGAAUUGAAUUUAUGACCUCUGGCUUGCCAGGCAAGCGCUUAUGCCACUGAGCUAUAUCCCCGGCCCUGUGCUGAUUUCCUUGAAGUGAACUGUCAACUUCUGCUUCAGCCACCGUGUAGGGAGGAAGCCCAAGCAGUCAUGUGGGAAAAAUCACUACUUCAGCCCACAGCCAGCAGCAACUUGCCAGCCAUGGGUGUGCGCCAUCCUGGAAGUAGAUCCUCUAGCCCCAGGCAGUUUGCUCCAGACAAAGCCAUGUUGGGGAGAACACUGUUCCCACAAAGCCUUGCCCAAACUGCAAAAGAGUAAGGGAAGAAACGAUUGUUGUGUAACAACCUGUGCUUUAGGGUGAUUUGUUUUACAGCAGUGGUCUGAUUUGUCUGUCUAUUCCCAACUCCAGAAUCAGGGACGCUACAGAAUAAGAUCAGGGAGUGUAGAAGAUGUGAAUAAACAAAUGAUUGGGAGCACAGAUGGACAGAUGGGUGGGUGGGUGAUAUAAGAAUUGUCAUGGGUCUCCCAGCUCUGGGUGGUGAGUUCUGGCAGAGUCAGGGACCCAGAGGCCAGGAGCUUCAUGAGGCACGAGAGACAUCUCUGCUAGAACUAUUCUAAGUAAUUUCCUCAGCAGGGUCCCUGCCAUCUCUACUUCUAAUGGCACGUCAGUCAGAGGAUAUUCAGCUGUUAAGUGAGAGAACAGCCACAACCCGAGGACCUGGAAUCUUCCCCAGCGUCCGGAGCCACACCAGACCUGCCAGACUCGCCGAGCGGAGGGCUGCCUGGGAGACACCACCUGUCUCUUCCCACCCCGCUCAGUUCCAACGUUAAGCACAUGAUUAAAGCUGUGCAGGAACAUAUGGGAGGCGCGGUGUUUACCACUCCGGCCUGCACAGUCCGCAGGGCAGCGGGCAGGAGCUGGGGCAGAUGUGGAGUGACCAGCUUCUGCCCACAGCUCUGACACAAGCCUUCUCAACUGCGGAUCUGGGUAGACAGAGGAGCGGGAAAAGAGAGAGGGAGUUUGGAGUUUGAGGAGCCAGGAGCACUCGUGAUGACUUACUUCAGAUAGUGGGAAUGGAAACUUACAGGGAGAGACAGUGGGGUCGCCAUGGAGCCCGGGUGCCCAAAGGGUUUGGUGGCCCCAGGCCGAAAGUGAAAUAAUCUGGUUGUAGUUUCUUUUUGUUUUUUUUUGAGACAUGGUCUCAAGGCUGCCCUUGAAUUUGUGGUGAUCCUCCUGCCUCAGCCUCCCACAUGCUGGGAUUACAGAUGUGUGCCACCUUGGUGAGGUCUUAUGUUUUUAAUGUAUGAGUUCUUUUGAGCUUUGUUUCACUUCUCUGUUGUGUAAUGUAGGUGUCCAGUGUCAUGAUUUUGCAUUCAAACAUCCAGUUGUCCCAGGCCAUAUUUUUUUUCCGGUACCAGGAAUUGAACUCACAACCUCGCACUUGCCAGGCAGGCGCUCUGCCGCUGAGCUAAAUCCCUAGCCCCUUUGGCCAUUUGUUGAAAAGCCUGUUCUUCCUCCCUGAGAAGUCUAGGCGCCCUUAUGGAAAAAUAUUUUUUUCUCUUAUGGAAAAUCAAUUGACAAUAAAUGUGUGAGUUUAUUUCUGGA